UUUAUUUUAUUUUAUUUUGCCUCAACAUCUUUGCUUAAAAAAGAAAAAAAAUAGAGAAAGGCAGAACGUCCUCCCAUGUAAAACGUCCUCUUUGUUUCUCAUGCGCUCAGUCCGUCGUCUUGCUAAUUUUCUGGAAAUUUUAACGGCUCUCGAUGAUGCCAGGAAAUGCUUUGACCUGAACGAGCAGAAAAGGUCAGAGCUCUUGUGUCGACUUCACCAGGCGGGACGGAGCUGAUGUGAAUCGCUUGGGCCCCGGUCCGAGGUUGCUGCCGUGUGUCUGGAGGGCUCGUCUGCCCUUUGCGGGCAGGAUCCCAAGGUCCCUCACCCCCUUCGCUUCCGCCGUAGCCAGAGCUUUCCCGAACCCCGAGGAUGAGAGGCAGGAGCGCGGCCCAGCGUCAAUCCCUGACCGAGCUCAACCUUCAGUUUUGGCUUCAGAAAACAGAUGCGUGUUUAUUAAUAAUCAGGAGUAAGAAAUUUUUUCCACCUAGCGCGAGGCUCUUUUUGAGCACUCCACAGCUUGGUACGUAUGCCUGGUUUUUUCACAAACUUUUUCCGCUGAGGAAUGAGAUUGGGGAAACUGAAGAAGGGGAGUUUACCUGGCUUGGGUUUAGAGGGCUUUUUUGAUGGGUAAUGUAAUGAAAAAAGAUACGUCUACCCCUGGCGGAGGCAGAAGGGAGUUGCUGUGUUGCUGGCUAGCUCGCCAAGUUUGGUUUCCUUCAUGUAAGCUGGCCUCGUGAUGCUUUCCCAAGUGGCUCAUGCCAGGCAGCUCCAUAUCUUUCCUUCCUUUCCUUCAUCUCCUGCUUCUUUCAGUGAUUUUUCAUGGAGUGAAAUGAAAUAUUGGAGUGAAAUAUUUGAGGAAAAUCAUCCGUUGCGUUCGGAGAUUUCUUCUGCGCUUUAUUUAUUUAUUUGGAGAAGCUGGUGAUGCCAUUGCCAAGCAGUACCAGACUCUGUUUACAAAAUAAGCGGGGACCACAACAAAGAGGUGUGGAAAAACAAAGCCGAGAAGGAAGAGUGCGAGAGAGACAGACUGUGUUUCUGUCCCUGCAAGCUGCUUUGCAUUUCUAUAGCACCUUUCCUCCCAGUAUUUCAGGGCAUGUCACAGACAUUAGUCAUGCCUCAUGCUAGAUUUGAGAGAUGAGUGAGGCAAUUUCUGCCACGGCUUAGAGAAGAAAAAUCUCUUGGAGAUCUGUAAUUCAGAGAGAAGGCGAGCCCUUUCCAGCAGAGGGUUGCGGGAGCCAGGCAGGUCACUUCUCUGCACUUUAGUGUUUUUAAAGUUAGGGCACUUGUCAGUCUUCAACAUGUCUAGCUAAUUUUUCUUUAAAGCGCCUUGUAUUUUCUCCCAGGGGAACUACAAAGGCCUUUGAAAUACAAAACGAAUGGGCGCGUUGGGUAGGCGAUCUGCAGUCUGCAGCCCUCGCUGAGCAGUUCUGCAUCCCUUUACAUGAAUUUAGAUGUGAGAGGGUUGGGUACAGCUCCGUGAGCACUUGGGAGUGUGAAACCUACUUUACGUUUUACGGAGAAAUGGUUGAGAGCAAGGCAAGACAGCAAUGUUCAUUUUCGCUAUCCGUCUUACUAAUAACAAGUAGCUCUGAGGGUAAUAAAGUUCUGGUGGGUAUUGACCCCACUUUCCGCAGGGUAAGGCCCACUCCUGAAUACCACCUUAUAGUUGAUGGGGAUCCUUUAGUUGGGUGCUUUUCUGUACGCAUGCAUGCAACUGAGUUCUCUUAGGCUUACCAAGAUACAUAUGCAAAAUAACUGAAAUCAGGCUUUUAACGAACCACUCGUUUAGACUAUUUAGCAAAAAAAAUUCCAUCGUCAGAAAUGAUUUGACUGAAAUAGUCGCUGAAUACUCCAAACGCUUGCAAACAACAGUGAGUUUAUGAUAUUCUGUAGCCUUUGCCCAAAGAACUGGACGCUCUUUCACCUCUUUAAAAUUAUUGCUAUUCUGUCCCCCACUGGGAAGAGUACUGCAUUUGGUUAUAGGAGUCAUUGAGUAAGAUAAGGACCAUAACUAAGUAAAUCGAUUUUUAAGGCCCUGAACCUCUUAAUGUUUGCGAGAUAUUCUUAGUGUUCAUGAAUAGUUCAUGGGACUAGGCAUAUGUAAGGGUCAAGUAUGUAAACACACAAGCAGAGCAGAAUAUGGCCUUCUGUUUCAGCCUGUCUCUUUGGUUAAAUCUGCCCAGAAGAGCUCACAGCCCUCGCAGAGCUCGCAGCCCCCAGAAGAGCUCGCAGAAUGGAUAUCUUCCAGGAGCCAGGCUUAUUUCUCAUUGCAUGCAAAUAUGAUGCUGUGCUUGGGAGAGACUAAAACUCCUCCUUUGACUGCUUGCUUUUUAACCCCCCCUUUAUAGUCUCAUAACUGCUCCUGGAGCUAUACUGCCACGGAGCAUUUGUGAAAUCAGGUGGCUCCCUGGGUCAAUCAUGUGGACGUUUAGCUGCCAAGGGAAACUUCAGGCAAGCGUGUUCCAGCUGCUGUGGCCUCAAGGAGGAGGGGAGCGAGGUUGUCUCUCUUCCUCUUGCCCUCCUUCCUCCUUGUUCACAAUUUUAGUUAAGAUUGCAGGCUUGCAAUUCUGUCGAUACAGUGUGAGACAGAUGCCCUAGCUGUCAGACAGGCAUUGCACCAACAGUUAUCCAAGUAGUUACCAGCGCCAGCGUGGGUGGAGAACUGCAGAGACCAAAGAGCGAGGCGAGCCAGUACAGCAUGGGAGCAGGGGCUCUGCGAGGCUGAGGAAACUAAGCCCUUCCUGUGCGUUUUUGUGACUUACUAAGCAAAUGUUAGAGAUCUGUGUUUUAUCACUGACACUUGGAUAUUUUUCCUAUGGAGAAACGGUCUGAGAUUUUGGAAGUCUAUGUGAAUUAGGACAUGCUAGCAUUAUAUCCAUCCACUGUAGGAGUUGGGGAGGACGUAGACCUAAAACAUUGUAGCGCACCAUUGAGUGUAGGAAAUCUUUGGGCUCGGGGAAGCCUGCCAACAUCCUGGAACCCAGCGCUGCCACGUGUCUGGCACUUGCCUGUGGUGGCCGUGGUUGAACUGAGCCCAGUGUCCUGGUUGAACAGUUCCUUAACUGGGGGAGAGUGCCUGCAGCGCUGGGUGAUGGAGGUGAGGCACGCGGAGCAGACCAGAUCCUGCGUUGUUUUCAUAGCUAGCGAUUUAGUGUUGCUCCCUGUCAUCUUUAAUGCAAAUUAGGUUGUGUAAUAAUUUGCAUAUUUAUGACUAACUGUACGUGGCCAGAGCUGCCUGUUUCUAUUCAUGUCUCUCUGUUGUCACUCUCUGAAGUGAGUGAACAUAUCAGCUUGGAUCAGGCCUGAGGGGUAAUGAGUCAAGCUGGACAAGUAUCCUGCAAGAAGUGCACAGUAUCCUGCAUUUUCGUGACUUUUAGAUUUUCUCCAUCUCUAAUAGAGAGUGGCUUAAGCUGUGAUGCAGGAGAUGCAACAUUCUUCCAGUUUUGUAAUGGUGCCAACUGUGGCAGUUCUUAAUAUCCAAAUGUCGGACAUGGAUUUGCAUAGAGCUGGUGGAAUGAGAGUCUGGAAGCUCUUCAGCUUGGAGGAGGGAUAAGAAGUCAAGGGGUCACUGCUAGAUGGGUGCCCAAAAGCACUGGAGGGGGAGAGAUGAGCUGAGAUGCUUUGAACAGCCUGUGCGAAAAGGAAUGUCACUGGGAGAGCAAGGUUGGAGAAGGCUUACUGUCAUGGAAACUGUCUGCAGAGAAGCUGCAGAGAGCCUAAAGAUAAGGUGAAUGGCUGUCGGGGUGGAAAUUGGGAAAACCCCAUACCAGAAUGAGCCCCAAACUCCCUUUGUCUUUGCAGUCACACCCACUGAAUUGCAGUCCUGCAAGAGGAGCAAGCGAAAGGAGAGAAAAUGAGGGAUGGCGUAAUGCAGGAGCUACGAAUGGCCUCUGGUACCUGCCAGCAGACGCAGGGCUGCUUUCUGCAGCUGGGGUGGUCGCAUGGCAUUUCAGCGGGCUUCCAGGAGAGCACGACAGAGCUGUCAAAUGUUAGCGCAUCAGGCUCAGUGUGGACACUUGGCAGGCGGUGGCUGAUGGAAACUUGGGGACAUUUCCCACACACACUCCAGAGUAACACAAGAAAGUAUUUUUAUGCGUGCUGGAAGAAGAAGAAGAAGAACAAGGAGCAUAAAUAUUUGGAGUGAAAUCUGUGUGUAUCCCAUAGAAGGGCUGAACAGAGACACGCACGUAUCUCUACAGCGAUCCCAAACCACAAAUUACACUGGGAAUCCUACUAGCGUUUGUUGCCCUCAUGCCUUCAUUACAACCCUAUUUUCUUCCUCAUCUUCCAGCCCUCGGGGAAGGGGACAGUGAGCUCCUGCUGUCUGGCAGCCUGCGCCGUAUCAGCCUGUUUUGCUCUGUGUGUGACUGUCCCCCACAGUUACCUUGCUGCUGUUGGUAGCAGCCUCGUACAACGCUGAGCAGUUUUGUAUCUGACAAUAAAAAGGGAAGUUCUGCACAGUUGUUCUGACAAGUGCAAGAUAGCCAGUGGGAAUGAGAUCCUUAAUCCGCCAAAUGCACAUUGCAAGGCGAAUGGCUCUGGGAUGAAGCUCUUCGGUUGCUACGAGCACGUGCUACUCUGCCAAAGGAGUUUGUGCAUACAGCUGCUUGACUGCUGCCUAACUCAGCUGGAUAGAUAUCUCCAAAGCCUGGCUCGUCUAGACAGUCAUAUUCUUGGGACGGAUAGCAAACUGGCUUGGUCACAAGACCACUCCAAACAGCAGUUUUGACCUGGCUUCUGUGUCCCAAGUGCCCUAACAGCAAGGCGGUGUGUUUUGAUUUAGAGGGGUUUUGCUUGCUUCCUUUGCAUCAGGGCAAAAAUGAAUCCUGAAGUCUCAGCUUUAGCACCCUCAAAUAGAAGAGCGUUGUCCUCCUCCUGCGAGCUCUUAUUGACGUACUGAGCAGUGGGCCUCAGUGGUAAAGGUAGGCAAUGCUUCCUGGUUUGCAAGAGCUCUACUGUACAGCAAGAAACUCACCUGCUUUAGUUAGACAGACUGUACUGUAUGAAUUUUCUUGUGCCCUCAGAAGUUUGGGCCUGUGUCUGCACGGUACUGCAGACGUCUUUGAAUGCCUGCAGGUAGAUGAGCUGCAUUUCCUUUGACAUCACACCAAGCUAGCUUGCCCCUUGUAUGUUUUUAAUGUUCGUUUGGGUCCUCUAGACAGAGAAGACGAUCUCUGAGGUGUUUUACAGGGUACUGCCAUGUCUAAUGUUUCUUAGCAGGCGCAAGCUGUCUGAUACAUUUAAACAAGACAUGUGGAUAUCUCUUAAUAGUGGGUUAAAUGCUGGCUGAACGUCUCUCUGAAUAGCUGAACACUGCUGCCAGAGGCUGCAGACUGGUUUGCACCCUAAACCAAGCCCUGCUGAAGUGCUGACUGAGGUGAGGCAUGUAGAAGGUUUGGCGUUUUGGAAACUUAAAUUAACAGCACAUUUUCUGCCACUCACUGGUUUCCCACUCGGGAGGAACCAGAGUAUGAAGCACUCUUAAAACUUUAAAGCAGUGGUUGCCCUUGCGGCUGAAGUUAGAGCUGGUGCGUUCUCAGCCUUCAAAGCCAAGAAACCACGAUUCUGUUCCGCUGCCUUUGCAAAGGUCCAGGACAAUACAAACCCAGACUUGGGUUAACUUUUUUUAUUAUUGACCGGCUGUAGCUGUUGUCACUCUCACGUUGUUGCCUUUCAGGUCCUCCAAGCACUGCCAGGACCGGCUCUGCUCUUUGUACAGCACAAGGCAGAGCUUUGAUGGAAAUAACCUGGCUCGGCUUUGUUCAGGCAAUAGGGGUGGGCGUGUGGGGAAAAUCUCACCCCCAGUCUUGUUUGGAUCUCUUCCAAGGGUUGGCUUAAAUGUUAAAGCAAGAUACUUAUCUCUCUGUUUUGAUUAAAUUCCGGGUCUUGGUGUUUUUAUGCUAAAUACUUCCUUUCUGCUUCCUUCUUGCUACCGCAGCUUCAACUGGUUUAAAUUGGUAUAGAGUCACUGGGUUCAGUAAAACCAUGUCAAAUGAUAUACCUGGAAAGAUAUUGAUCUCCUAGUGCUAUGCAUUUGUUGCUUAGCGAUACAGAAUAUCUCAAUAUCAACAGUCUUCUGUUGCUGUAGUUCAGAGCCCUGUGAAAAUCCUGGGGUGGUAUUGCAAAUUUUAGCAUUUCAAGCACUGCUUUAGAGUAUCCUUGCAGUGCUGGGUAUUGAGCCAGUCGGAUGGUAUCUGAAUGUGGGCUCGGCAAGGGAGGAAGCAGCCACGGUGAACAAAAGUACAGCCUCUUCUUAUAAACCAGACCAGCAGCUACAAACACACUUUAACUGCAUAAUGGAAAGGGCUAGAGCAAAAUUAGGGCUUAACCUAAUUGGCUGGACGUCUGAUCUCUGUUCCUAAAUGUGUUACUGACUCUUGUGACUUCCUGCAAGUCCCUUUACCCUCUGUAUGCUUAAGAUUCCCCAUUUACAAAAACACUGGCAAUGGUUUAAGACUUAAUUAACAUUGAUGAAGAACACGACAAUGCUUUGAGAAUUGCUGAAUAAGUGGCAAGUCUUGCCAUUAAUAUUAUCAUUCCACCUUUAAGAUGUCAGAUUAUAUAAAUCUAGGCAGCUGCCUUAAAGCACUGUGUGCAGAUGAAAGCUCUCUAAAGGAACAAAUUCUUCUUUCCUUGGUCUUGGAAUAAAAUGUCAUAAUUGCAUGGGAAGAUAGGACAGCUAUUACUGAAAAGGAGGUAUAAAAGGGUAGGCAAAAAGCUAAUGCAGCACUAGGAAAAGACGACAUUGGAGACGGCAUUCAUCCAAACUGAUAAUGAGACAUGAAGUACCACCCAAACCAGGCUGUUGAGAGAGUCUAAUAAACACUUUGACGUUAAGGGGCCUUUAUGACUGCCUGACUGACGAUGGGGGAUGUCUGCUUAAUGCCCUGUGCUCUGGCAUGCAAAUGUAAUACCCGGGAGUCUGAGUUGAUAGCACUUUAUGUGCUCAUGGAUGCUGUUUCCUUUUUUAACCAGAGAUUCUCAAAGCUGUUUAAAGGCAUCAGUGGGACACCCAAAAUCAUUUGUUUUCUUGUUGACAGUCUUGCUGAACUGAUCCGGAAACUUUGUGCCCUGAAGUUGCAAACUAAGGAUUUGCUAGACUAGAGUGUUUCUGUGGAACUGUAGAUCAGUGUUUCUAUGGAAAUUCUACAGGGUACUUUUAAGUAAAUGUGUAUAUGAUGAAUGAAAUUAUGCUGGUGAUUAAGACACCCAUAAGAGAGAGGCAACAAAGUGCAUUGUCCAGAAAUCCUGUAAUGUUUACAAUUUGCUUAUUUGCAUUCUGUUUUCCUAAAUUCCUCUUCAGAGCCUAAUAAAGAACUUUUCUGGGCCCUUCUAA